UACGAAGGGGGCUAGCGUUGUUCGGAAUUACUGGGCGUAAAGCGCACGUAGGCGGGUUUGUAAGUAGGGGGUGAAAUCCCAAGGGCUCAACCCUGGAACUGCCUUCUGAAACUGCAAGCCUGGAGGUCAGGAGAGGCGAGUGGAAUACCGAGUGUAGAGGUGAAAUUCGUAGAUAUUCGGUGGAACACCAGUGGCGAAGGCGACUCGCUGGACUGAUACUGACGCUGAGGUGCGAAAGCGUGGGGAGCAAACAGG
rnacentral:rRNA from 1 species